rnacentral:rRNA from 1 species
AUGUACCAGGCCAUCCCGGGGAGACCUGCGCUCUCCCGGAUCCCUCCGACUCCCGGUCGUGCUUGCCUCAUGCCGGAUGACUUCGACAUCUACUCUUGUGGCGACGACGGGGAAUACGUCCUGGCCGGUCUCUGUGUGACACCCGUUGUUUGGGCGCAUGAACUCCACUCGUACUCGUCCAAGUCUAAUGUUUGGACUACGAAACCUGCUCGCCUGGUGAGACGGCCGACGGAGGACCACCUCCCUGUCAAGUUGCACAAGGUCAUCCUUCUUGGAGGAAGCCUGCUAGGCUGGGUCGAUCUUUCUAAGGGUAUACUUGUGUGCGACGUGCUCUCACAAGAUCCCCAGCAUGAUGUGUGGUUCAUCCCACUUCCUGAGCUGAUGCCCGGGAAUAAGGGCGAUCAUAUAUGCCCGUGGAUCAUCCGGGACGUCGCUUGCACCAACGGAUCGCUCAAGUUCAUCAAGAUCGAACGCCUUUAUGUACCCGCUCCGGUCGAAGAAAGUGUGGCGGCAUGUGAUUUGGAUACAAUGUAUGAUGACCGGUGCUUUGAGAGUCCGCCACCGGAUUAUCUGAACAUGAAGCCACCCGUAUUCGUUGGUUGGAGGGCCAUCAUAUGGAAUAGAGCGGUUUCCGACAACUGCUGGCGCAAGGGUGCGUGGUUCAUGUCGAUGACAUAUUGGUUGAGAACCCACACCACUCUGCUUUGCUGGCCCAGCUGGAUGGAAACUCGACGAUAA